GGAUACUGAGACACGGAUCCGACUCCUACGGGAGGCAGCAGUAAGGAAUAUUGGACAAUGCCCGCAAGGGUGAUCCAGCCAUGCCGCGUGCAGGAAGACGGCCCUAUGGGUUGUAAACUGCUUUUACACCGGAGAAAACCCCCCUACGUGUAGGGGGCUGAUAGUAUGGUGAGAAUAAGCAUCGGCUAACUUCGUGCCAGCAGCCGCGGUAAGACGAAGGAUGCAAGCGUUAUCCGGAUUCAUUGGGUUUAAAGGGAGCGUAGGUGGACUUAUAAGUCAGCGGUGAAAUCUCUGGGCUUAACCCAGAAAUUGCCAUUGAUACUGUAGGUCUUGAGUACAGUUGCUGUGGGCGGAAUAUGACAUGUAGUGGUGAAAUACAUAGAGAUGUCAUAGAACACCGAUUGCGAAGGCAGCUCACAAAGCUGUAACUGACACUGAGGCUCGAAAGUGCGGGGAUCAAACAGGAUUAGAUACCCUGGUAGUCCGCACUGUAAACGAUGAUUACUCGCUGCUAGGGGGCAACCUUUAGUGGCUUAGCGAAAGCGAUAAGUAAUCCACCUGGGGAGUACGCCGGCAACGGUGAAACUCAAAGGAAUUGACGGGGGCCCGCACAAGCGGAGGAGCAUGUGGUUUAAUUCGAUGAUACGCGAGGAACCUUACCAGGGCUUGAAAGUUAGGGAAUGGAUCUGAAAGGAUUCAGUCAGCAAUGACCCGAAACUAGGUGCUGCAUGGCUGUCGUCAGCUCGUGCCGUGAGGUGUUGGGUUAAGUCCCGCAACGAGCGCAACCCCUACCAUUAGUUGCCAGCGGUUCGGCCGGGGACUCUAGUGGAACUGCCCGCGCAAGCGGAGAGGAAGGUGGGGAUGACGUCAAGUCAUCACGGCCCUUACGUCCUGGGCUACACACGUGCUACAAUGGCUAUUACAGAGGGCAGCUACAUGGCAACAUGAUGCAAAUCUUCAAAAAUAGUCUCAGUUCGGAUUGGGGUCUGCAACUCGACCCCAUGAAGCUGGAUUCGCUAGUAAUCGCGCAUCAGCAAUGGCGCGGUGAAUACGUUCCCGGGCCUUGUACACACCGCCCGUCAAGCCAUGAAAGUUGGGAGUAUUUAAAGUCGGUAGCCGUAAGGCGCCGCCUAGAGUAAAACCGAUAAUUGGGGCUAAGUCGGAACAAGGUAGCCGUACCGGAAGGUGCGGCUG
rnacentral:rRNA from 1 species